CGACCUACCUUUUGCAAAUCCAAUUCAUGACUACGUUUACAAAUGAGAUUUAUGUUUACAGUUUCGGGAAUUGUUGGGAUUCAUAGUGAACAGAGAGGAAUCGGUUCGAUCCCAGUUCCGAGUGAUUCAGUUCCUCUACUUCGGAAUAAAUUCCACCUUGGGCUGAUUACACCUUCCCACAGCAUUGAUAGAGACGAUUCGUAAGGAAAUUCGACGGGUACGGCGGAAAGGCACCAUAACCCUUUGACUAUUUCCCAGGACCGCUUCACUACCAGGCCAGACAGCGGCUGAAAGCUCAAUGCCUGAGAUCCGGACACACCUAUGAAAUUGGGAUCAGAAUAGCGAAGACUUCGGUAGUACUCAUUACCGCGGUAAAGGAGUCAAGCGUGACACCCAGAAGGGUUGUCCUUAAUCGGGAUCAUCCUCUGCUCCUUCAGUUUUAACUUACCUUCGG